rnacentral:rRNA from 1 species
ACUCAAAGGAAUUGACGGGGGCCCGCACAAGCGGUGGAUGAUGUGGUUCAAUUCGAUGCAACGCGAAAAACCUUACCUACCCUUGACAUGUCCGGAAGGCCGCAGAAAUGUGGCUGUGCCCGAAAGGGAGCCGGAACACAGGUGCUGCAUGGCUGUCGUCAGCUCGUGUCGUGAGAUGUUGGGUUAAGUCCCGCAACGAGCGCAACCCUUGUCAUUAGUUGCGACAUUUAGUUGAGCACUCUAAUGAGACUGCCGGUGACAAACCGGAGGAAGGUGGGGACGACGUCAAGUCCUCAUGGCCCUUAUGGGUAGGGCUACACACGUCAUACAAUGGCGCAUACAGAGGGGAGCCAACCCGCGAGGGGGAGCAAAUCUCAGAAAGUGCGUCGUAGUCCGGAUUGAAGUCUGCAACUCGACUUCAUGAAGUCGGAAUCGCUAGUAAUCGCGGAUCAGCAUGUCGCGGUGAAUACGUUCCCGGGCCUUGUACACACCGCCCGU